rnacentral:rRNA from 1 species
GAUGAACGCUGGCGGCGUGCCUAAUACAUGCAAGUCGAGCGAACAGAUAAGGAGCUUGCUCCUUUGACGUUAGCGGCGGACGGGUGAGUAACACGUGGGUAACCUACCUAUAGGACUGGGAUAACUUCGGGAAACCGGAGCUAAUACCGGAUAAUAUUUCGAACCGCAUGGUUCGAUAGUGAAAGAUGGUUUUGCUAUCACUUAUAGAUGGACCCGCGCCGUAUUAGCUAGUUGGUAAGGUAACGGCUUACCAAGGCGACGAUACGUAGCCGACCUGAGAGGGUGAUCGGCCACACUGGAACUGAGACACGGUCCAGACUCCUACGGGAGGCAGCAGUAGGGAAUCUUCCGCAAUGGGCGAAAGCCUGACGGAGCAACGCCGCGUGAGUGAUGAAGGUCUUCGGAUCGUAAAACUCUGUUAUUAGGGAAGAACAUACGUGUAAGUAACUGUGCACGUCUUGACGGUACCUAAUCAGAAAGCCACGGCUAACUACGUG